rnacentral:rRNA from 1 species
UACAGAGGUCCCAAGCGUUGUUCGGAUUCAUUGGGCGUAAAGGGUGCGUAGGUGGCGGGGUAAGUCGGAUGUGAAAUCUCGGGGCUCAACCCCGAAACUGCAUUCGAUACUGCUUUGCUAGAGUACUGGAGAGGAGAUCGGAAUUUACGGUGUAGCAGUGAAAUGCGUAGAUAUCGUAAGGAAGACCAGUGGCGAAGGCGGAUCUCUGGACAGUUACUGACACUGAGGCACGAAGGCCAGGGGAGCAAACGGG